AUAUUUAAUGGCCGCGGUAUAUUGACUGUGCAAAGGUAGCAUAAUCAUUAGUUUAUUAAUUGUUGACUUGUAUGAAUGGUUUGACGAAAUAUUGACUGUCUUAAUUUUAAUUAAUAUAAUUUAAUUUUUUGGUUAAAAAGCUUAAAUUUUUUUGAGGGACGAUAAGACCCUAUAGACCUUUAAUAUUAUUAUUAUAAUUUUGUUUGGGUUAUUUUAUUUUUAAUUUUGGUUAUAUUUUUGUUGGGGUGACAUUUAUGAUUAUUAUAACUCUUUAUAUUAUUUAUUAUUUAUUUAUAUUUUAUUGAUCUUUUAUUAUGGUUUAUAAGAUUAGGUACCUUAGGGAUAACAGCGUAAUUUCUAUUGAGAGUUCUUAUUGACAUUGAAGUUUGCGACCUCGAUGUUGGAUUAAGGAUAUAUUUUGGUGUAGAAGCUUUAAUUAUUGGUCUGUUCGACCUUUAAAUUCUUACAUGAUCUGAGUUC
rnacentral:rRNA from 1 species